AAUAGACCCACCAAGGGAAGGACGAGAGCCUUCGACCAAGGUUCGAAUUGAGCGUAGCGAAAUAACAGUGCGCGUAGCGCAUUCGCCCGCAGGGUGAGGAACGAAGUGACGAAUCAUCCUUCCCCCACCACCA
rfam:Xenorhabdus innexi strain HGB1681 (deposited as PTA-6826 in the American Type Culture Collection) genome assembly, scaffold: XIS1_scaffold1